GACGAACGCUGGCGGCAAGCUUAACACAUGCAAGUCGAACGCCGUAGCAAUACGGAGUGGCAGACGGGUGAGUAACACGUGGGAACGUGCCUUUCGGUCCGGAACAACUGAGGGAAACUUCAGCUAAAACCGGAUACGCCCUUCGGGGGAAAGUAUACGCCGAAAGAUCGGCCCGCGUCAGAUUAGGUAGUUGGCGGGGUAAUGGCCCACCAAGCCGAUGAUCUGUAGCUGUUCUGAGAGGAAGAUCAGCCACACUGGGACUGAGACACGGCCCAGACUCCUACGGGAGGCAGCAGUGGGGAAUAUUGGACAAUGGGCGCAAGCCUGAUCCAGCUAUGCCGCGUGGAUGAAGAAGGCCUUCGGGUUGUAAAGUCCUUUCGGCGGGGAAGAUAAUGACGGUACCCGCAGAAGAAGCCCCGGCUAAUUUCGUGCCAGCAGCCGCCGUAAAAC
rnacentral:rRNA from 1 species